rnacentral:rRNA from 1 species
UACGUAGGGUGCGAGCGUUAAUCGGAAUUACUGGGCGUAAAGCGUGCGCAGGCGGUUGUGCAAGACCGAUGUGAAAUCCCCGGGCUUAACCUGGGAAUGGCAUUGGUGACUGCACGGCUAGAGUGUGUCAGAGGGGGGUAGAAUUCCACGUGUAGCAGUGAAAUGCGUAGAUAUCCGGAGGAACACCAGUGGCGAAAGCGGCCACCUGGACUGCACCUGACGCUGACACGCGAAAGCUAGGGGAGCGAACGGG